rnacentral:rRNA from 1 species
UGGGGAAUAUUGGACAAUGGGGGCAACCCUGAUCCAGCCAUGCCGCGUGAAUGAUGAAGGCCUUCGGGUUGUAAAAUUCUUUUGGCGGGGACGAUGAUGACUGUACCCGCAGAAUAAGCUCCGGCUAACUUCGUGCCAGCAGCCGCGGUAAUACGAAGGGAGCAAGCGUUGUUCGGAAUUACUGGGCGUAAAGGGCGCGUAGGCGGUUUAACAAGUCAGGCGUGAAAGCCCCGGGCUCAACCCGGGAAUAGCGUUUGAGACUGUUUUCUAAGAGUUCGGAAGAGGUAAGUGGAAUUCCCAAUGUAGCAGUGAAAUGCGUAGAUAUUGGGAAGAACACCAGUGGCGAAGGCGGCUUACUGGUCCGACACUGACGCUGAGGCGCGAAAGCGUGGGGAGCAAACAGGAUUAGAUACCCCCGUAGUCCCUGAGCGGGCUGGCAAGGCGCAU